AACGCUAGCUACAGGCUUAACACAUGCAAGUCGAGGGGUAACGAGGAAGGAGCUUGCUUUUUCCGUCGACGACCGGCGCACGGGUGAGUAACGCGUAUCCAACUUCCCGGUACUAGGGAAUAGCCCGUCGAAAGACGGAUUAAUGCCCUAUGUUGUUCUAUGCAGACAUCCAAAUAGAACUAAAGAUUCAUCGGUAUCGGAUGGGGAUGCGUCUGAUUAGGCAGUUGGCGGGUUAACAGCCCACCAAACCGACGAUCAGUAGGGGUUCUGAGAGGAAGGUCCCCCACAUUGGAACUGAGACACGGUCCAAACUCCUACGGGAGGCAGCAGUGAGGAAUAUUGGUCAAUGGGCGGAAGCCUGAACCAGCCAAGUAGCGUGCAGGAUGACGGCCCUAUGGGUUGUAAACUGCUUUUAUACGGGGAUAAAGUCAGCCACGUGUGGUUGAUUGCAGGUACCGUAUGAAUAAGGACCGGCUAAUUCCGUGCCAGCAGCCGCGGUAAUACGGAAGGUCCGGGCGUUAUCCGGAUUUAUUGGGUUUAAAGGGAGCGCAGGCCGGAAGCAAAGCGUGCCGUGAAAUGUAGAUGCUCAACUUCUGAAUUGCGGCGCGAACUGGUUUUCUUGAGUGCAUACGAGGUAGGCGGAAUUUGUGGUGUAGCGGUGAAAUGCUUAGAUAUCACGAAGAACUCCGAUUG
rnacentral:rRNA from 1 species